GGUUCUGACCCAGUGUCAGCUUUGGCGUGGCCUCUGUGCCUCCUGUGCUCGGAGCACACAGCCAUCAGCUCCCUGGUUCUCUGGUCUUUCGUGGUCUUUCAAUAGUUUCCAGCAGUGGGAGACCCCUUAUAAAAAAUUGUACUUUUCAGCAGCAGAGGCAUUGUUCUGGAGUAGUCUAUGAACUGUAAACAUAUUCUCAGUAUUCAAAAGCCCAAUCACCUUGGGUGCACACAGGAAAAUGUAAGUAUUUUAAGCACUUUGUCCUGAGAUACAUUUUUUUAGAUGAUCGAUUUACACUGUGUAGGUGUAAAGGCUUAAUAGACAAAGACAAACGUCAGCUCAGCCCUGUUCAUAAUGAACAACAUUUCUGAAGUUAAUAAAAUCCUUAAAAAGUACAUUAUGAUGUGUUAAAAAAAGUCUAUUUUUACUUAAUAGCAGUAACGCUACUAUUCAGUGUUAUAAAAGGUUUUACAACCAGAUUCAAACACUAGAAUCCAUGCCCUUCAAAAACAUAAAACAUAUAUUUACUUUCAUUGAAAAAUACUCAUUUGAUUUUCUUAUAUUUGUGAAAACAUAUUUUGCAUUAAAUAACAUAUGUUAUUUAAAUGUUGACAUAUUAACUGAGAAAUUAUCUCCUGGUUCCUAGAAAACAUUAAUUAAAACCUCAAAGGCUUUAUCUCUAUUUUACAUGUUUCUCUGAAGAAAAUGUAUUGUUUAGAAAACAAACAGUGUUGCCAUGUGAUACUUUUUUUUCAAAUGAGACAACACAGCGGAAUAAAAUAUAUGAUCUGUAGCUGCUGAGGAUGAGUCAGUUCCUGUUUCAAUAACAAGAGUGUCAUCGCUCAACUCUUAACCAGCACAGCUUGUCACUGUGGAUGUGGCUUUAUUUGUACAUGUUGCCAGAAAGUUCUUAGGGAAAAUACACUCAUAGUUUUCAUACCAAAAAAAAAAAAAAAAAAAAAAAGCUUUUGGUGAGCAGUUGUGGCUAUGGCUGUUGCCUUGUUCGUUAUUUAUGCUGUAACCAAUGCUUCACUAAUGGAAGGGUAAUGCUUGCCUGGCCGCAUAAAGUAGUGCCUCAGUUUUCCCUGGGGAAUUCGUCAUUUGCUCAUGUCACCCCAAAGCUCUCACACCCGUGUGUGGUGGUUUUCCAAAGAGUGAGCAGUGCGCCCCGAUGGCAUGACAGAGAGAACUUCCAAGCCGAGAAUCCGAAGACAUGUAGUUUCGUCUGGCUCUGCUAAGUGACGUUUUGAUCUUGGAUUUCUGUUUUCACAUCUACAGAAUUAGGCCACUGAAUACCACGUUCUGUAUGCUUUCUUCCGGGGAGAGAGUCUCUUACUCUUUUUCUAGAAUCAUGAAAUUGAGCUGGCAGUCUUUGCUUGGUCAGAGCCUGAUGUUUCCUGGAUUUAGAACUUGGUUCCCCGGAGACCCACUGGACUAAUUUAAAAUGAUUCAUCUGCAUGAGUCAUUGCCCUGCUGCCUUCAGGACAAGAUGUCUAUCUAUUGUCUUGUUGCUACCAUUUUUUUACAAAUAACUCUAGCUCAGCAGCUGCAGACUCUGGCCCCUGCACCUGGUGGCACUGGCCGGAAGACAUCAGCGGGCUCUCUGCAGGCACACCUGGAGGGAGGGCUUGGGAGGAAGGCGUACGGCCUCCGGUCUCACCACCUCUGAAACACCAUCCCAGGCUGUGUGUAAGGUUCAUGUGCUUUGCGUCAGAUUCUCAGUAGAACGAGAGGCCUUUCAGGGAUCUUCCAAGUCCUGAAGGAAGCCACCAGGCGAAUAGCUGGUUGUCACAUCCCCUUUAGAGCCAGAAGGAAUCAACAUCCUAUCAGAAGGAAAGGAAAUUUCCUGCCAUGGAGAGGAAUCUUACAGCCAAACCGAGUCAUGGUUUUGCCCUCAUUUUAAAAUCCUGUUGUGUAUAUGGAAGCAUAUGGAUCCUAACAAUUUCUCUUUCAAAAUCCUCAUAAUGACUUUCAUUAUGGCCAUGUUUCUGCCUGAAGUGUAUCUGAAAAACGCAUCUAGAGUCUAAGUCUAAAGGCACCAUUCAGUUGUAAUAAUUAACAUCUCAUUUGCAUUCAGUACAAUUCUAAGUUCUAUAUAAGUGUCUAAUCUGGUGAUGGGCGUUGUAUAAUUGCUAAGUAAAUAUUUGCCGUUGGUUAUGGAGAAUGAAUAAGAUGGGCAUGGCCCUGUCUUCCUGUCGUCGCAGCCCAGGGUCGCCUCCUCUAUAAACUGUGACCACAGCUGAAUCAGCGAAGCCGUCACCACCGGCCUCGUCCAUCAGGGUCCUGAGGGCCUGUGAGGAGUUCCAGCACUCCCAUGCAGUGACCCUGCUUUACUUUAAACUCAGUUACAUACACCUGUUUAAGAUAAUGCUGCUGCGUGGCCGCUGAAAACUUCCCGAAUGCCCUGUUUGCUGCUAAAGCUGAUGUUCCCAAAGACAGAGCUGCAGCCAUGGCGGAAAGCGCCACCCUCCAGGAGUGAGCCGGCAUCUGCUUAUCCACGGCUUGGGUCAGCCCCAGUGUGAGGGUGCCGCACAGUACCCAGGCCGACGUCGGAGUUUCCAUCAGUUCAGAAUGACUCGAUCCUUCCCUACAUGUGGAACCAGUUAGGGUAUGUCUCUGGGUCCUGUGACAUGCAGUCCACUCUUGAAUUGCUUUGCUUCAUCAAGAGUUGGUGGGCUAGGUAUCAAAUAGGGCUGGCCAUUUCCCGCUUCCGUUCAAAUCAGACCAAUAACUGAGUCCUGCAGUUGCCUCCAGCUGGCCCUCCCUUCCAGGCCAUCUCUUUGCCAGUCUGCCCUGGUUUCAGGAGAAUAAUCCUCCUGCCAUAGAUUGAUGGUUGCCUGCACACUGCUUUCACUUCCCAUUUUAAGAUCUCAACAUCCCUCCAGGCGGCAUCCCUUGGCAUCCCUUGGUUUGGAAUCUGGGUUGUGAAUUGCCAAACCUCCAGCCCCAUCCAGGCUUACCCGUAACACCCCAGAGCUCCAGCCAUAUCAGCCUGCGUCCCAGCCUGCAGCAUGGUCAAAAGCUGUAAGCCCGCUUCUCUCCUUCUGGCUUGUUUUUCAUGUAAACCAUCCUGCUGGUUGCCUUUGCUGACAAGGGUCCUCCUUCCAUAGAGCUCAGGCCGCCUGGGAGAGCACCUCUGUGCAGCCGCCCCUAAGGGGAGGCGUCUCUGUCCCUUCUCAUGCCUCUUGCACCCUGUGGCUGUGCUGUUAGAGAGUCACACUGAAAUCUACGCUUUGGGCAGUUAAGAGUGUCUAAAGUGACUGCUGCCCUGCUGCACAGAACACUCGAGAUCCGUGGUGUGAUGGGAAGAGCUUUCCAGCUGUGUGGCCUUGGGCUAUCUUCCUCUCUGGGCCUCAGUUUCCUCCCUGGAGCAUGGGAGCACUGAAGGCUACCAACGGGAGCUGCCAGGGUGAAUGGAGAAUUCAUGCCAGACCCUGCUGGUUGUCCCUGCAGAGCAGAAGCUCAGGAAACCCUCCCACCAGCUCCUGGAGAGCACGGGAGGCACUGGCUCCUUCGUUCUCUAUGGAAGGACAGUUCUGCACCAGGGAUUGUUGUUAGAGUCGCAAAUUUGGGAUUCUGGACUUCUGUGCUUGACAGGGGCCUCAAGUCCCCAGUGUCACUCAGUAGUGACAAACCCAAAUGAAAGAUCCUGGCAAAUGAUUAGCAGCCUUCCUGCUGCUGUGCACCUAAACCCUGUUGCUAUUUUGGGGCCAGCAUUGUUCAACCUGGAUUUAGUUCUCCUUUGCUGUCUAUUUUGGCUCUGACCUGCUCUGAAAGGGCAGGCUCCACACCGGGUGCCGCAGCCAAUGGCUUGUCCACGGUCUUUGUCCAAAUGGACUCAGUGAGGAUAUCACCAGAGGAAAAAUAAAAGAUGAGAGAACUUGAAAAACAUAUCUCCCAUUCAGAAUCUUUUUAAAAAUAUACUUUCAAACAAAGAGG